GCCCCCCUAGCUCAACCUGGGAGAGCGCCUCAUUUGUAAUGAGGAGGUUGCCGGUUCGAUUCCGGCGGGGGGCU
rnacentral:tRNA from 1 species